rnacentral:lncRNA from 1 species
GGGACCGGUGUUGGAGCAGUUUGCUCCUGGGGUUUGGAUCCUGUGGUACAGACCCAUGUUGGAGCAGUUCUUGAAGAACUGCGGCCUGUGGGCAGCUCUUUCAAUCAUAUUUUCUCCCCCCUUUCCUUUGAGGUGGGGGAGUGAGAGAACAGUUGGGGUGAAGUUCAGCUGCCUACCAGGGUAAAACCACCACAGGCUGUAACCUUUAGCUCCACCUUGUUAUUUAUGAAGCCUUUCAAAUACAAUAUUCCCAGCAUGAAUGAUCUCCAUUCCUUUCCUGCCCAUGGAAGAAAAAUAUGUCAUUGCUUGCCUUACCACAUACAGUUGGAUCUUGUAUUCCAGAAGCUCUCUGGGAGGACCUUAUUCUCAGUGGCAAGGCACAUCCAGGCUGAUGACACUGAAAGAAUUGAUGAAUGUACAAUGAAGUUGGGCAUACUGAUGCACAUCAGCAUAGGUGAAUCAUUUCCUUAUGUCUGAGAUAUCAGGAUAUGAAGGAAGAUUACUUUCACAGACAAACAAGAGACAGCUGCCCUUGAUAAUGUAAGAUUUAUUCUUAACAUUCUUUUCAAAGGAUCCUUUUCUGUCCAAAUUUUCAUAAUGCAACAAGACUUUUCAAAACAUUGUGUGAAUAAGAGAGGCAAGGCAAGGCAAGA